rnacentral:rRNA from 1 species
AUGCACCUUGUUGAUGAUGAAGUAUUACAGAUUAUCCUUGAGGAUGUAAAGCAGGACCCAGCCCACCACCGGCAUCUCGAGGACCCACACGAAGAUCUUCACCAGAAGCCUGGCGACCCGAGGAGCUGCUCGCCAGAAUUCAGCAUUCAACAACACGAAAAUAGGAUGAGAAUUCAUAAUUCAGCAGCAACAAAUGUCGAACCUUUGACAUUGGGACAUACAGCAACCGCCGUGACUGUAAUUCAGCAACAACCGCUGAAGGGGCAGGACUCGUUGUCCUCCUCGACCAUGGGGGAAAGGCCCAGCAACGAGCCGUUGGUGCUCCCGCCCUCCGACGACACGGAGAUGUCGCGACAGACAUGGAUGUAUUCGACGACCCUGAGAAUAGUGCAGUUGGCUGAUCAACAUAGAUAA